UUGGCUUUUAUCUGCUCUACACAGCUUACUUACUGGUCAGAAAGAAAGCGGGUGGGGCAGACUGAGAGAUGCCUUUCACUGGAGACCAUCUGAAGCUCAACAAUAGCCUAAUUUGCAUGGUGGCACACAGCGUUAAUCCCAGCACCCAAGAGGAAGAGACAACUGGAUCUCUUGAGUUCAAGGCCAGCCUGGUCUGCAGAAACCCCUACUGAGGGCAGUUCAUUUGAACUGUCAGCUUAUUCCUGAGCAAGUGAAAAGGAUCCAAGUCCCCAAACUGGCCCCAAUAAGGCUUGUGGUCCAAGGAGCAGAGUGAUGACACAGUGGACUAACGAUGAUGACCACCUUUGCAGCCGCCAGAUAAUAACCGAGGGAAUAAUUACAGGAAGAAACGCAUGUGGAAACUUCCAGAAUGGACACUGCAGGCAAAAGUUCACUCGUUCCCAUGUCAGAGGCAGUGCAAUGGGCAGAAGUGAUAAAAAGGCGGAAGGUGAAAGAUGUCUCGAGGAAAGAUCAAAACUGACAAUGAAGGAGAGGUACGAGGAAUUUUGUGCACUGUCCCUGGGAUUAGAGGUGGGUACGGUCUCAGAGCGAAGAGUAUAGGGUUCAUCCAAAAUUUAAAGUACUGCCCCUAAACAUCCAUCAUCCAUUUCUGGGUGUACAGAGAGGAAAAAAGAUGGAAACAGUGUGUCACAGAGAUAUCACAAAACCCACAAUACACACUUAUCUUAAGCGUCCAUCCUGAGGUGGAAAUACACAGUAUGCCUACCUCACAGAAAACUACUCAGGUUUUAAAGAGGAAAUCAUUUGUUGUAAGAGAUAUGGAUCUGAGAUAGGCUAUGGUUAGUGUUAUACUGCACGGUGUCACACGCAUGUGGACUCUAAAAUAAACAAAACGAAACCCUGAACUUAUAGGAAGAGAGUGUGAGGGGUUGGUUACAGAGGCCAGGAAAUGGGGUUGGGGUUAAAAGGUCUUACGGGGUUGGGGAGGAGCUGGAGAGAUGGCUCAGUGGUUAAGAGCACUGACUGUUCUUCCAGAGGUUCUGAGUUCAAUUCCCAGCAACCACAAGGUGGCUCACAACCAUCUGUAAUGGGAUCCGAAGCCCUCUUCUGGUGUCUGGUGUCUGAAGACAGAUACAGUGUACUCAAAUAAAUUUAAAAAAAAUAUUUAAAAAAUCUAAGAUAAAACCUUAUGGGGAAUAAGUUCAUGAAAUUUACAGCACAGAUUGCUGCCUAUAACAAGGAACAAUGCACAGAACACUUGAAAAUGGCUGACAAGGUGAUUUUAGAUUUCCUCAUCACAAAAGCAGUAUCUAGAUAAUGUGAUAGACACAUUAAUGAACUCAGUGGAAUGUUUACACAGUUUAGACUCCUGUUAAAACUAUCGUUGCCCAUCUUAAACACAGACAACUUCUCAUUUGCAGCCUGAAAAAAUACAGUUAAGAACAAAUUACGUGCCUGAUCUUUGAAUCAACACAACCAAACCAAACAUGUGUCUGUAAUCCUAGCACUUGGAAAGUGGAGGCGGGGAUGGGGGAUGUGGUGGGGAUCAGGAGUUCACUGUACAGUACUCACAGCCAGUCUGGGUGACAUGAGACCCAGUCUCAGAAACAAUAAAUACAGCGAGGGAGAUGGAUCAACCAGCAAAGCUAGCCUCACAAAGCUGAGGGCUUAAAUUUGAUUCCUAGAAUCCACAUUUAAAAAAAAAAAUCCAGGCGUGGUGGUGCAUUCCUGUAAUCACAGCAUUGGGAAGAUGGAUUCCUAGAGCUUACUGGCCACCCAGCCUACUGUAUUUGCUGGGCUCCAGACCAGGGAAGAAUCCUGUCUUCAAAUAAAAUGUGGAUGAUGCUUAAGGAAGGAUACCUAAGGUUGUUCUCAGGUCUCCACAUAUGUUUCCUUCAUGUCCACAUACAUGGACCUGCACAUACAUGAACAUGCAUACAUUUACAUACACAUACAUAGAUAUACACAUACAUACACACACACCCCACACCUCAGAAAUCAAUAGGUAAACACAUAAACUCCAAAAUAUAAAUCCUCAGGUGUGCCUCAGAUCCUUAUUAACAAAUGCAUUGAAGGCUGGAGAGAUGGCUCAGCGGUUAAGGGCACUGACUGCUCUUCCAGAGGUCCUGAGUUCAAUUCCCAGCAACCACAUGGUGGCUCACAACCAUAUGUAAUGGGAUCUGAUGCCCUCUUCCAAUGGGUCUGAAGAUAACAACCACAUACUCAUUAAGUAAAUCUUUUUAAAAAAAAUAAUCUACAUGGAUGACAAGACAUAAAACUGAGACUUCAUUAGACAAUAUAAGCAAACAUUCUGUGGUCUAAUACUGAAUGUGUGUUGUAGAGGUUGAAAUUUUGGCUUCGAUGAGGAAAAUACGCGAUACUGAAAAAGCUCUGGGGCAGUGCAGAAAUAACCCACUCUCACAUUUCCGAACAGAAGUUUCAAGCUUCAAAGGAGCUUAGGAAAUGUUUGUGGAGAAGAACACAAAGCACAUCACACUAUUUUGCUUAAUAAAGACUGAUGCAGCAGAGGAAAAUUUCCAGGCGUGCUGAUGUCACAGUUGGCCACGGGGGGCUGUGAGUUCUAGGCUGAGUUUGAUGUUCCCGACAGGAGGCAAAGGGCUAAGUACCCAGAGGGAAAGAGGCUACACAAGUGCCCUCACUCUGUGUUCUAGGAACAGGCCCUUCUUUCACAGUGUAUGUUAUUUGACAGGCCUUCCGUUUAUUUUUAACGUCAUUGGCCCUGUUCUCUUGGGUUUGCUCCAGAAUGCUUGUCUGUGUGGGAGAUUUAUAGCUGGUGAGGGCCAUCUCCUUAAAGGUCUGCCUGCAGUGGAAUGAACCUAUUAGGUUCAAAGGAAAGGCUUAACCAAAUAGAGAAGACGUUUUCUAAGUCUACUAUGCCAAAGUGAAGGACACACAGGAUCUAAUUCUCUGCAUGAAUGAGUACUCUCAUAUUCUCACUCCAAGACAAGGAACCAGGACCUGAGAACCUGAGUUCAGACGGUUACACCCUUGGCAAAUGGCAGAGAUCACUAGUUUCCUGAAGCUAGUCUGGGACCUAGAGUUUGUCAGGCAGAGUGUGUUCAUUGGUCCUUGUCAAAGGAGCAGCAAACAUAGACUGUGGAGAAGGGUUGAAAAGUUUCAUAUUCCUUGGGUUAACUCAUCUUUUCCCUGAGCUUAUGCCUGUGUGUGUGUGUGUGUGUGUGUGUGUGUGUGUGUGUGUGUGUGUGUAUGUGUGUGUGUGUGUGUGUGUGUUUGAGAGAGACAGACAGAGAGACAGAGACAGAGAGAGAUUCUCAUGUCUUUAAAAAUUAAACUGACGGGCUGUGGGCUGGAGAGAUGACUCAGUGGUUAAAAGCACUGACUGCUCUUCCAGAGAUCCUGAGUUCAAUUCCCAGACAUCUGUAAUGAGAUCUAAUGCAACUGACUAUACAUUUUAGUCAGAAUUGCUUUGUUAAUAUCAUUUCCAUGGCAAAAUAAGCAGUCAGAGACUAGUUCUGGUCUCUCUGAUGCUUUUUGACAUUGUAAUGAACCUUGAAAUCCUAAAACAUGGAGAUGUGCUGUGUAGCUAAAUUUGAACCUAGGCUUAAAAAACAAGCAAGCAAGCAAGAACCCCCCAGUGUUGUUUUGACCGUAUUGUUUCCUGGUUCCUCAUAUAAAUUUGGACUAUCAUAAGCCCCUCAGAAGUAAAUACCAGAGUCUCUAGAAUAAUGCUUCCCAAUGGAAACGAUUGCAGUCGUGGAAAUAGGUCUCUGUGUGAAUGUGCCACACACAAACAGAACACAAGGCAAACAGACACCAUGGGCUUUGGUAAUCAUACUGAAUUCUGAAAUCCUGCAAGUACCAAGCAGGAAGGAGCUGUGCGUGCAGUCUUGCUCUUCCUGGCUCAAACACAGACUGAGAGGGACUUGACCUACAUGACCCCCUGCGCUUGCACUUGCCUCUUGCGUUUGCAGGGGGUCAACAUGUUAUUCUUCUGUUCUACUUUUUAGUCUCUGCUUCGAAGGAGGGGUUGUCUCGAUGCCUGAUGUGUGCUUAGUCCAGUCCUUUGCAGUGUAUUUGGAGACAAAACCUCCAUUUUGACCCAAGGUUGGGAAAAUCCCGGAAGUCUCCGGGUGACUAAGGGAAAGCUGAUACGGGGUCUGAGAGACAAUGCAGUAGGGGAUACAGAUCAAUGAAAAAGCCUCUUCACUAAACCCAGACGAAAGCAUUCGAUACCCCAGAACUCUGCAAGCAAAGUUGAGCGUCUGUUCCCUUGACUUGGAUUUUCAGGAGCAAAAUUAUACUUGCAACAAGGCCUUUGUUCCCUCGGCAUCGAGUAUCUAAAUGUUUCCUACUGCAGGGAGCUGAACGGUUCAGUGGCACUCCCUAGCAAAGCCUACCUUCAGGAACACAUCACACAACCACGGAUAUACCUGAAGCUGUCUCUCCUUAUAUGGCACAGAGAAUAGUAUGGUGAGAGACUGAGAAAGGUAUGCAAAGAAGCCAGGACUGACAAGCAAAAUACAUAUUUCAAGUGACUGAUAUGUAACAGAGCAGGUAUUUAUCAAUAUCCGCCGCCUCUCCUCCUUUCCUGUCUAGGAUUUUAAAAAAAAUAAAAACGAAAGUGAAAAAAAUUUUUUUCGUCUUGUUUUCAUGGAUCUGCGUUGCCUUCAGAAUGACACCCUGAAUAGCGUAGCUGCUGUUUAUACUGUUCAGCAAAUAAUAGAGUAAGUGUCCUCCAAGUGUAUCAGCCAGUUUUAUGUUCCCUCCCUCAGAGAGUGCUAAGAAGUGCAGCACGCUAGGUGGCUUCUAGAAAAACCAACUCCUCUCCUUCUCCAAGCCUGCCACCAUUUAGCUCUUUCUGACCACCCGCCACCAAAAAGUAACGUUUCAGAAAGUUUCCAUUUCUUGAUGCACUGAAGCAGGAUUUUCACCUCUGACCUCUUCAGCACCUAGAGGAGAAGGAGUAGGGCUUAGAGAACAAAGGGAGGCCAGCAGCUUGUUCAAACCAAAGGUUCUUUGCAAGUUGAAGGGGGUGGGAAAAACCCAUUGUUUUGGCUCUGGUUCUUCUCUGUGGGGCCAAGUUAAUGAAAGCACCAUCUAGACUAAUGGGUUGGCUUUUUUCCCUUGAAGAUGGUGUUUAUAUUUUCCCAUCUUUAGUUAGCCGGUAAUUCGCAUAUUGCUCUCAGAGAUCCUGUUUUUUUUUUCUUUUUUCUUUCUUUUUUUUUUUUUUUAAAGCGGAUGCUGAUAAAUGAGCCAGCUCUUCCUUAACCAAGACAAACCUAGCUUGCUUUCUAGCAGGAAUCUGAUGGCUUAUGGGGGGGGGGGUGGGUGUCAGAUAAUCAUUCUCAUUAGUAAACAGAUUUUACUCCACAUUUUAAAAACAAGUCGGUGCUACAUUUCAUAAACAGUGAGGUAGUAGUGUUAUUAUUCGAUCAAGUGUUUAAUUUUUUUUCAAAGAUGUGCUCAAUGCCCAGUGCCACGCGGCUUUUAUCUUAUUUUCACUUACAAAGUUAAUUCAUUACCACAUUGUUUCCUUUACCUGUCUGUAACCUAGGGAGUCUUCCGUGACUGUUCUUCUCGGUUAUCAUUUUUCCACCAUUAAAAUAGUGUGCAUAUGAAGAUCCAGAAGAGAAAAGAGAGUUGGCUCGGCGGAUAUGACCAUUUUCUGUGCAAGAAUGAGGGCCUACAUUUGGAUCCCAGCACUCACAUCUAUAUAAAGCUAGGUACAGGUAGUUGCCUGCCUGUAAACUAAGUCUAGCUUCUGAUGCAGUGAGAGACACUGUCUAAGGCAAUACUGUAGGGUGAUGGAGUAGGACCAGAUGCAGCCUGGUCUCUGCCCAUGCACAUAGAGUCUAUACAUAUAUGUGCCCAUACCUUACACUCACUUGCAUGCUCACACAUUCAUACAAACCUACAAAAUGAAGAAAACUGCGCUCUGAAUUGGGCGCUACAUUGCUGUAAUCGCAGCACUGGGGAGGCUGAGGCAGGAUGACGGCUGUAAAUUCAAGGCCAGCCUGCGUUACACACAUCAAUCGAUCAAUAGAUUAAAAAAAAUAAAGAAAUUUGUAUGUUAAAGGCUUAGACAAAUUCUCCUGGGUGUGGGUUAGAAAUGCACAGAAAUAAGACAUUCGUAAGACAGUUUGUCAAAAUGCACCUUUCUCUCUGAUUUAAGACAAAUAUUUCUCUUCUUAUAACUUCUAAGAUUUUGGGAAAUGUCUUCACUUUGUUAUUGAAAACUGGGAUAGACAGAAGCAUUCAAUACCCCGGAAUGCCUUAAACAGUUUGUCAAUUUGAAAACUUGCAGCACAAUGUAAUAAAACCAGCCAUCAUGACAGCAUCUCACUGUACUAACCCUUCUCCCUGACUUUUAUUCUGACCAUAUUAAAGGCAAUUAAAACAUUAGGUUUGUAAUUAAAGUAAAAAUAUAAAAUAUAUGUUAGAUAAUGUAUUAAAUUGCUUCGUUUGGAGACUAAAAGGUCAAGCUUAGUUUGCAUUUUGCCAUUACUCACUUUUGUGAGGUUGUAAUAAAAUAGCUCAGUUAUUGAAUAAAGUAGAAAAAAAAAAGACUGACAAGACAGAAAGAAAGGAAAAAGCUAGCCUGGCAGUCAAUGUCUUUUGCAUAUUUUGCCAUUGGGUUUCUUGAAAUUGUAAACAUCUAUGUCAAUCUGCACUAACGUUGUAUAGUAACAACAAUACCAGUGGUCAGCUACAGAAGCAGAAAGGGCCACCUAGAUAGACUGUAACCAUGAUUGUGUGACUUUGGAUGAUAAUAAGGGAUCUGGGAAACCCAGGGUCCUCACAGAUUCAGGAACAGGGCACAUUUUCUAGUCCCCAGUUUGUGCACUAGUCCCGAGAGGGUGGCACUGAACCUGUUGUGUCUGCUCCCCUCCCCCUAGUAAGUUGCUCCUCACAUGGUUGGUCUUACUUCAGUCUUCAUGAUAUAAAUAAAGUAAAUAUAUUUACACAGAGCUUUUUAAACUUAGUUCAUGGUGCUUCUGAUGUCUCAAUUUUAUUUACAAUACUCCCUUUGUCCAAAGAAAUCACCAGUAGUUCCAAUUACUAAGAGUUAGGUCCAAACAAUUUCAUAAGGUUUCCCCCUAACAACUCAGUAUCCAAUAGCACUGUACAACUUCCUGUUGUGAAAAGAGAUUGGCAACUGCCUCUUGGGUUUCCCAUUGCAUGGGGACUUUUAUUUAGCAAUUGCUUUUUAUCCAUCAACCACUGAAAACUCAUUUUUGUAAAGACAUGAGGACUUGAAGGGCUGCUAUGAUCUAAAGAUGAAAGCAGAAAAAAUAUAAAGCUAUACGUGUUACAGGUGACUGACAAAUAUUUGUUUUCCUUGAGAAGUUAAAGCAUUCCUCCCACCUGUGUGAUUUCCCUCUGGGUAUCACUGCCCGGGUCCCAUUAAUCUAACACCCUCACUGUGAGGGAAUUGGGGAAGGGUUGUUAGGCUUUGAUAACUUCCUACUUAAGUUGAUGGAAGAUGGCUCUGAAUAUCAGAUGACUUUAAAACAUUUAUGAAUAUAUGUGAUGCUAAUCUGAUGUCAAGUUCACUAUAUGUGCAAUUAACUAAAAACCCAAGCAGCUCAGCCCACUCGAGGAAUUUUCUUGAUUGAACCAUUUGAGGUGGAAACAAACACUCUAAAUCUGAAGCAUGUGUGAGGGUUUUUUGGGUUUGUUUGUUUGUUUUCUGGGUAUUUUUUUGUUUUUGUUUUUUUGUUUUUUACAUUCUAGUUGGAGUGUUCAUCAAACCUGCUAUUGAGACAUUCAUUUAUUCACUUGGAUUAGGAACUAUUACUUCUGGAUUCUAGCACAGACUUCUGAAGACUAGCAGCUCUCUAGGAUUUCCCAGGGACAAUGGAAUCAGAUUGGGACUCCAGAGACAUCCAGUUCCCUGAACUGAACAACUACCAGAUGCUUGGCUUUUCUAUUCUGAGAUAGCCAUUGCUGGACUAUCCGGACCACAGCCUGUACGCCCCUCUCAUACAUUUCAGAUAUACUUUCCUUGUAUCUGCUCUGUUCCUUUCGAGAAGCUGGACUAUACAGUGUAUUAAAAUCUAAAAUGUAGCUACAAGAGGUUACACUGCUUCCUGUAGUUCACUGGGGAGUAGAAUUUUUCCAGUGAACCAAGUCUGCUUUUGUUUUGCUUUUCUUUCUGAGAUAUUUCAGACAGAGUCCAAGGAAGAAUUACUUAUCCCAGAGUAAAAACAUGAAUAAAUGCCCUGAAAUGGCUUACUAUUGAACUCCACGGAUACCUCCAAUCUCUGGGAUUACAGGAAUGUACUGCUACCCCACCCACCUUUUACAGGGGUGCUGGGAUUCCAACUAAGGUGCUUAUGGUCACAUGAUAAGCAUAUUAGCAAUUAAGUCACCUUUGUGGCAUUUGGGUUUAAUAAACUCAGCGGAACUUUCUAGAAACAUCUACCUUCUAUAAGUGAAUGUUUGUAGAUUCUGAACUUCUUCAUACUACAGAAAUGCUCACAUUUUCUAAGUCCGGUGCAUGGGUGUUUUACUGUUUUUAUGCACCACAAGAUUUGUCAUGGUUUAUUUUUCACCAAAUUUUAAUAGUACUUCAUAGCCAGUUCACUAGUCAAAUGAGUUUUGUCUAUCUGCUCACAAAUAUUGUCCACAAUGGUAUAAUUAAAGUGAUGUUCUUUACAGAUGAUCAAAACUUUUAUUUGUAUCUUUAAAAGAUGAACAUUUUUAUACUCUGGGUCUCUUAUUCACAAAUAGCAUAUUAAUAUCUCCAUUUAAAGAAAUGAAGGAUGAAAUGAGACGCAAAUACAAAGAUACUCAGAAAAGUAAAGUGUAUUAUGCACACAUGAUGUCUCUUAUGACCAUCACUGUGGACUUUUUCCUUUCUGUACCCCUGCUACUUAUUAAUUGUUAUUUAUGAAUGAUAAGACAGUGGCAUCUUGCUAGGAAGGGAUGAUUUCUUUCUUCUCAUUUCGUAAUUAAUUAAACAAUUAUACCCAAACUUACAGAUAAUUUGGUUUUUCUAAAACAUUUCAUUCAAAGACUUAUAAACUCUUGACACUAAGGGAUUUUAUCUGUUGCAAUGCUAGGUAAGAACAACAUAUACAGACUCAUCAAGUGAGCCAAGUAGAUUUUAAUAAGAUCAUUCUCUGUAAAACACACAGUUGUGUAGUAGAGCUAUGGACACUGAACAUUGCUGGGAACUAGUUAAAGGAACCUGAUGAGGCUUACACACAUGGGCACAUAAGCCAUCAAAUAAAGGGAGAGCAGAGUUAUGUAUGUGUGGAAGAUAAAUGCUGUAUUAAAUUAAACAUGAAGUCAUAAUUACUUUGUUUAUCUUGUUUCUCAGCAAGUGUGAAAGGAAUGCCUCAUUUCUCCUAGGAAAAUAUACUGAGGAACUCAGAAAGCUGAGUGUGUCAAGGCAUUAUUUUUCAACAAUAUACAGAGUUGCAUCAUGGUCAGAUUCAAUUUGUCAUUCCUACAUGAGUCCUCCCAGUAGAUAAAGGAACUCUGGAAUUGGUACAGGGUAAAAUGAGGUCAUUCUUGUAUAGGGCUUUGGAAAUAAAGGCCUUUUUAGAAUGUGAAAUAUCACCAGCUUUUCAUAAAAUGGAGGUGCAUAUUUAGCCUUUUCCAACUUGAAUAGAAGGUAUGGGACACAUGGUCUAUGCAUUAACAUAACAAAAUUGUAUUUCUAGAAUUUUAAUGAGCAGAGCAUUAACCAUUAAAGUACUUAUCCACUUACCCACUACAAGUUCUCUGACCUUUCUUUCUAAUAUGUUUUAAUUGCUCAAUACUUUCUUUCAUUCAUUAAACAAAAUUUAGUUGUUUUCAUUUCCAAUCCCUUGCUCUCUUACUUUCUUCUCAACAAGUCUUCCUCAUACUUCAAUGUCUAUUUUUGUGUGGUUCACUGAGUUUCAUUAGCAUUUCUUGCCUGUUAAUUGACCAUAGUUCCUUAGGAAUGGUUAGGGCCUCAUGGGCCCCUUCCCCGUACAUGGUGAAAUUCUGGCAGGCCAAAUCUUCUAUAGGUCUUCUGUAGACAAUCACAGCUACAGAGAGUCCAUGAUUGCAAUGGCCGUGUCUAGAAGUCUUUUUUACCACACACCUCUCUGUCCUUUGGCUCUUAGAUUCUUUCCUCCCCUCUUCCUCAAUGUUCUGUGGUCCUUGGGAGAGGUGUUUGUCUAUUUUGUUGUUCCACUUUUAAUGAAGUUGUACUAGAAAGUUGUUUUUUUUUUUUCCGCUAACCAUAGGGAUUCUUGGACUGAGUACUCCUUUAUCAAUCCCUCUAGUGUGUUGUUCUCUUGCUUGAUCAGCAUGUUGACCUUCCCCACUGUAUGAGUCUCGCAUAUAUUAUGCUAGGUAGGCACUCUACCACUGGGGGCUACAUCUUCAGUCCUAUUCCUACUUUUCCCUUUGAGGUAGGGUCUCAUUGUGUGAAUUCAACAACAUUUUGCUUCAACCUCUGAGUAGCUGAAAUUACAGGAGUUUAUCACCAGGCUUGGGUAUGCAGUGGCUUUGUCCUUUCACCUUGUCUCAAGCUGCCUACCCAACUCUCACUGGUGACAAUGGCUCUUGUUUGAUGGAAAAGUAGACAUCAUUAGCCAAUAAUUAUCUAAACCCUUUCUUUCCUUCAUCUCCAUCUUUAUAUUUCUUCUUUUAUGGGUUUCUCCUUUGUCUUCUCUUAAGAAUACAAUCCCAGGGGCUUGAGGGAUGGAUCAGUGGUUAAGAGCACUGACUGCUUUUCCAGAGGUCCUGAGUUCAGUUCUCAGCAACCACAGGGUGGCUCACAACCAUCUGUAAUGGGAUCUGAUGCCCUCUUCUGGUGUGUCUGAAGAGAGUGACAGUGUACUCACAUAACAUAAAAUACAUAAAUAAAUCUUUAAAAAGAAAUAAAAAUCCCAGCCUCUGUCAUUUUUCCAGACACUGUUUCUUGAGCACUAUUGUAGCUGUACAUUUAUCUGUAAUCAUCAUUUUUCCUGAAUUUUAGUCUCUAGCUUCUGGGCCUUCACUCAGCUUGUGUUAUUAAUUCCUUCCUCUUAAAUUUUUUCCUCCUUAGUCAGCUUUAACUCUCUCACUCCUCCUUUUCCUUGAUUUUCUAAAAAUAUGCAUUUACUGCCUUAGAGAACCACUUUCAACUCACUCCCCAACCUAUUGGGGUUCUAAUUCCAUUGCCUGACUAAGAUGCUUCACUCAAAUGGCAUCUAAACACCUUGUAAUUACAGAAGGUAAUUGGUUCUUCUAAUCUCUUCUAGUCCUCUAGACCAUUAUUUCUAAUCUUUGUCCUUCUUUUGUCAAUGAAUCACAAGCUUUCUCCAUCUUGUUCUAUUAAAGCUGAAUUUACUAUUGAGUAUCUAUCUCUUAUUCCUCAUGUUAAUACUGACAUCUGUUUACUCAUCAUUGUCAAAAAUUGCACUCCUUUUGUUUCUCUUUCUCUACCAGCUACAUACACAUGUGUGCACGCACACACACACACACACACACACACACACACACACACACACACACACACACUCUCCAUGGUUCUAUAGGCCUUGCGCCUCUUUGCUGCGUUUCAAUACUUGAUCUACAUCUUCAUCCCGUGUGGCCAAGUGUGUUUCUACAAUGAUAUUUUAUGUGGAUCCCCUUUCUAUUGUUUCUUCAUUGUAUGAUCAUUCCAAAAUAGAAAAAUAAUAAUCAAACUAUAAUAAAAGUGAAACAUCGAAAAAUCCAAAGCACUUCAGUAGCUCUCCGCUCCCAUGGACUUUAUUGAAUCUUUCUCCUCUAUCCUACCUGCUUCUUACAUCAUGCCUUUAAUGUACCAGUGUCUCCAUAUUUUACAAACCUGUUCCCUGAACCCAUUACUUUCUUCUCAUUUCCUUUGGGCAGGGAACUUUCCUUGGGCCCGUUUGUGCUUGUGUAGUGCCUUGUAAAACCUCAAGGUGGUACUCACAUUUUAUUACAAAUAGCUUAAUAGCAGUCCUUCCUUCCCCUUAAAUCCAGAGCUCAAGAACUGUUCUAGGAGUUCUAGAAAUAUUCUCAUUGUGUCUGAAUAAAUAAAUAAACAUCCUAUGGACCUAUAGAAGAUAACACAAAAAGACACUCUGGCAAUGGGAAGUUAUUUAGGAAGAAGAGUAGUCAUUAGUAACACAACUGAUGAGAGAAGGGGGAACUGAGAACUAAAGGUUACAAACUAGGCAAAGUCUAUUCUUAUUUCUAGAUGCCCAUUUGAGGCUGUUGCUUGGUCUACUGCCUGGGUGAACUUUUAGGGUACCAAGAAUAACACUGAACCCACAAAGGGUCCUAUAAGAUGAACUGUAAGUAGGUUCUGUGAGGGCAUUGCAAGAAGAUGAGAGUAGCAGGAUGAAUGUUUAGAUCUAGAGGAGAGAGAAGGCUAAUUGUGUCCAUUGCCAAAUAUGACAGUGCACAUAUUAAGUAAGAAUAGGGACCUGUGCACAAGUUUCCUCAACACAAAACUAUUACAAAUGUAUAAUAAGCAUACAAACUGAAUGUUCUGGGGAAAUGAGUGAUAAUCCCUGUAUCAUUUCAAGGCCAUUAUUUUGAAUUCAUUUCUAAUCUACUCCACAUCUUAAGUGAAUUGGAGUAUAUUGCACCUAGUGAUUUAUAUUUGGAACCUGGUUCCAUUUGUACAAAAUCCCCAAAAGAUCUUGUCAGUUUCAUGUCUGUUCAUAUCAACUGAGAUAUAGUCAAUACACUGUCUAUCUUCCUGUCAUAGGGAUCUUCAACCUAAGUUUAAGGCUUUUAAAAAUAUUAGAAAAAUGUCUGAGUAUCUAAAGCUUGAGUCUCCCAUAAAUAUAAGCUGAUGUCUUAAGGGUAAUUUUCCAUUAAAUGUUAAAUUCUACUUUUCCCAAACAAUAUACUUUCUGAGAAAAUGUUAUUCCCUUUAAUCAAGGUGACAGUGCAUUCCAGUUAAAUCUAUUAUUUCUCUUCAGCUUGGAUGAUUUUAUUCACUUUCUGCAUCAAAGGAGGAGGAUGUGGCUGGAUGAAAUCAUCAUUAUGACAUCAUCCCCUACAGAGAUGAAUCUGCUUAGGUUUAUGUAGGUACUUCUGCUCAUGCUUAUACUCACAUAUCACUGGCAAUCGAGGAGUUCCUGGACAUAGACUUUGGAGAGAGGUCAUAAUCGCUGUCUGAUCGAUACAGGAAGGACUCCCGGCGUUGACUGUGCACAAAGUUUGCUUGGAGAAUUAGCCCAGACCCUGGGCUGGUCAUGGGAUCCAAGGGACUCCGUCCCGCUGAUGUGCCAUUGUCCACAUCGAAACUGUGAAUAGAGGGAGAGAGUUAAUUUGGUGGGAGCUCUGGCAUGUUGAUAUCUCAGCAGAGCAGUUAGCCCAAGUUUAACGAUGAACUAGAAAUGUAGUGGUAGCAUGUUUGUGUAGUACAACAAACACCCUGAGUCUGAGCCCUAACACCACAAACAAACACACACACAAACAAACCCAUAACUGUAAACAAAAUGUUGGGUUAACAUUCGUAUUUUCCUAAACUUUUGAUGAUUUACAAAGCAUAAGUCUUUCUAAAGCUAACUUCAUUUAAAAAACUAAGUCAUUAUGCAAAGUAGCUCUGAGCACAAAAUUCCUAUUUAGAAAAGAACAAAAUUUAUAGUAAUUCAGUAAAUAUUAGAGUUUGGUUGAACAACUACGACUGUCUGAUGUCACGGUCCACUUGAACAUGGGCUUCUUUUCCUUCUCACACUAUACCUAUUCAAUCAUUACUUUCUCCAUUCUUUGCUGUGAGCACAUAAUGGCCUUUAAUUUCUUGAAUCCAUUUUCCAGACUUUACCUAGCAUAAAUAUCUAGAUAAAGAUCUUAGAAUGCAAGAAAUACUGAAUACAACAUUCAUCAGUCACAACCCUUCAUUAACUCACUUUGCUCCAGAAUGAAACAAAAACUCUUGGCUGGACUGAAGGUCUUGAUCAUCUCUCAGCUGCAAGCAACCACCUUCUCAUCCCAAGGUACACUUGUAUCAUCAGGCAGUUUACAGUCGACUUCCAUUGACUUACCACCCCUCUCUGGCUAUUGCUUCCUGGGUGCUCUUUUGUGUACUCACCUCUCCUAUGCUAAGACUAUUGACAUUCAUUCCUCAGGACUUAGCUUUUGUCUAAAAAGUUUUGCCAGAAACCUCAGAGCCUUGUGAAGUAUCCUUCAUGCUACCAAAGACACUCCCCUGUUAGUUUCUUACGGUCAAGACGGACAGUUAGUUGAAAACAUUUACUACAUGGUGUAAAUGUCUUCCUGUGUAGAUUUUGAACUCUCACAAAAUGGACUUUGAGGUAUUUGAGUACUUCAUGUAUUCUUUCAAAAACUUUUAUUGGAUGGGUCAAGAACCCAUGUCAUAGACUCAAAUAGAGAACCUAUUACUAUUCUGAUGCUAAGUGAAUAAAGCAUUAAUCCCUAAUGAUGUAAAAUUAUACCAAUAGAUUAAUGCAUCUCUCAUCCUUCAUCUUAGGGUCUUCUAUUUGCAAUAGAUGGUGAAUGACCCUGAGACGAGCUACUGGCCCUGGGGCUAGACAAUAUGAGACUCCAGAACUCCUAACUCUAAGUGGAACAUAUGUCCUGUAUCCCUCUUCUAAAAGCUCAAGAACCACUGUAGAAGAGAAUAGGACGAAAGACUUUAAAAACCAGCAGCAGUAGAUAACUACAACAAAAUAUCUUGUGGACACAACAGGGUAGCUUCAAUAUGAAUUCACAGAUGUUGUGACAGCAUGCACAAUACUUGUACAAAUAUAAGACAGACCAAAUCCCUGAAUGGAGUGGGGAAUGGACAGUCUCCCUCUUAGUUGAGGAAGAGUAUGAGCGGUUAGCUGUUGGGAAAGGGAGGGUCAGUUGUCUCAAGAAGUAUAGCCCCUGAUAAACAUGCAAUGCUUUAGUGGGAGGCCACAUUAUUCAAAAGUAUUUGGGUAGAACAUACUGACCAGGAUGCAGGGAGAUGUAAAAUUGGGUGAGAAAGAAACAAGGGAUGCAUAUGAGAAAAGUUGGAGGAGAGAGGGUGAAUAUGACCAAAACAUGUUCUACCAAAUUGUAAAAGGACAUAUCUUGUAUGUAUAUAUGUACCUGUAUGUGUAUAAGUCUCUAUCCUUUACUGGGGCUAGAAGCAUAGAUCAAUGGUAGAGUCAAAUGGCUGACACACAUUAGUCCCUGUUUUCAACCUCCAACACAACACAGAAAAACAAACUCCUGUAUUAAGUAAGGUAAAUAAACAUUGAAGAAAUGAAAUGCAUUGAGUUCGGAACAGAUUUUUAAAGUUGGUAGAUAAAAAAUAGCCAUAUACACAGCUUUCAGUGGAAUUGUCAUUAUAACCCAGAUAGACUUUCUCAAACAAAACAAAACAAAACAAAAACAAAAAACCCUUUUCUAGUGAGACAUCAAUCAGCAUCAAAUUCAAUUCUCAUCUGUUCUUGAGAGAAGAGAGUGACAUCCUGGGAUAGGCCAGGGGGUAUGUGGCUAAAGGGAAUUACUAAAUGCACAAAUGAAUUUAAAUUAAAUGAUUACCGACAUGUCCCCAUUAGAAUCUUUCUCCAGAACUGAACAUGUAGCUCAGUUGUACAGUGCUGCCCUACAUACACAAUGCCCUGGGGUUAAUUUUCAGCCUGCCUAUGUGUGUGUGUGCAACCACCCCUUUAAACAAACAAACAAACACACACACACACACACACACACACACACACAAUUUGUGGCCCACUAGUUUAAAACAUUUUUAAAUUUUUCUUUUCUAGAUUUAUUUAUACUUAGUGUCAUGUCCCAAGUGUUCCAAGUAAGCCAAGUAAUGGGGGAAUCAUUAAAUCAUUGAUCACUAUUCAUCGACGACCAAGCAACACCCGAAUCAAACCUUCAGGCAGGGGUAAGACAGUGUUUCAACUAUAGUAAAGAGUGGUAUCGGAGAAUUUAGGGUGGCUCUUUUUGGGUGUUAUUCAUUUCUUAAACACUUAAUACGAGUAUACUGUGAUUAAAAACUGUAAAAGCAAUAGUAUUAAUUCAGGCUGGCAUACCUGUGAUGCUUCAUAGAGGAGUAGUGACUAAAGUGAGCUUUUAACACUACUCAAUAUGCGUUUGAAAGACCCUAUUCAGAAGAGUAGGGAGGGAUGGGAAUAUAUUUCCCUUUAAGGAGACAGUCACAGAGGAUCUAAGGAUGGAAAUUCUCUACAAAGCAUCUGUGCUUGCUUCCUCUUAUUAUUUAGCAGGAUGGUGUUAGUGUUAAAUGAACAGAAGGAAGCUUCUCUCUCCAUAUUCUUCAUGUACAAUAAAGGAGAUAGAAGAGUAUGGUUUGGGGUUUACUUUCUUUCAGUUUAAUAGAUUAAUGGAAGCUCAAUCACCCAAAACACCCCAUUAAUUAAAUGUUUUUAAAAUACAAUAUUUUUAAAUUCCAUUAAGAAAAAUAUUAGCUUACAGAGACAUCCUACUGUAGAUUAUUUUGAAAAACUAAUACUAGAUACCUUAAAAUUUUUGAUAAUAAUAUUAUCAUAAAAAAUCAAAACAUUUACUAACUGGAUAAAUUAUGUCUGUUCAGAGAUCUAACUAGGGUCUUGGCUGUCUGUGGAUGUAAUAUAACACUUUGUCCACUAGAUGGAGAGAAUGUUCUUAAAUAUGGAGACUGCAUUCUAAAGUAAUGGGAAAGGCUAUGUUACCUAUUAAAGACUCACGAAAACCUCUUAAAUAUUAUCUAAAAUAACGCCUCUAAAUCUCUUAAACUGCUUAUAAACAUUUGCUAAUAUUUCAUCUAUCUAAGAAACAGUUAAAUUAGCUUUACUUUGAAAUUACUUCAUUUCUUUCUUUUUCCAAGAAUGAUCAGACUGGCCUAUCACUUAGAGGUUCAAAUGACGCUAUACACCAUGCUUGCUUGCUUGGCUAAGAGUCUGCCUGGGGUACUGAAAGGAAACCGGACUCUCUUUAAAAAGCAGGCUCCUGGCAUACCUUUUAGGGGAGCGCAGGAAAACAACACACAAAAAGGUCCCUCAACAGACGACCUCUUCAAUUUAGUAUUUAACAUUUCAAAGGAUUCUGUCUUCUCAAAAGUCAGGAAGAUUUUUAAGCCAUUGUCUUCAUUAAACUUCAGAGCAAAAAACCUUGGGUUGUGUUUCAAUGCACUUUUUUUUUUUUAAAUCCUAAAUUUGUUUUGAGAUUAGAGACACAAAAGACAGCCCCGGGGGGUGGGGGGUGGGGGGUAAACUGUGUGUUCCGUUUUCCUUUCCCCCAGAAGAGUUACAGUUCAAGCUUGUUUGGUGGAAUUGUCCUUUACCCAUCAGUAGAUUUUUAUUUUUUUAAGAAGAUGAAAUCUGCAGUAAUGGAAGAACUUGACAGCUACAGAUCAACUUCCCGUGCCACAGCUCGGUUCUAUAAAACAUAGAGACAGCAGCUCACCAGAUCAUGGUUCAUUAUUUUAACGUUGGGCUGUGCGAGGUCAUCACAGCAAUCCAUCCGCCCCAUACAUCCACCCACCCCAACGUCAAAAUAAUUAUAAACUGUGGUUGCUCAAAGGCACAGGAAUGAGAACAAGGGCAAGAAGAAGCUCUCCUUGAUGGGCCAGGGUGGGCUGGUACCCGGGUGGGGGGACUCCCCAUUCUUAGAGAAGAAAGGGAGAGGAGAUGGGGGGACAGUCUGUAUGAGAGGGUCUGUGAUUGGGAUACAAUCAAUCAAUCAAUCAAUAAAUAAAUAAAUAAAAGAAUUUGCCUUGGGACCAGGCUGAGGAGGAGGACCUGAUGUUCUAUUGGACCUUUACUUUAAAAUUACUCAGGAAGUCAUCACUGACCCUUCAACGUACAUCACUCAAUGUCUGUUAUACUGAACAAAGCACCAUUGAUAUCAGCAAUAUCCUGGGAAAACCUUUGAAAUUUGGGAAUGCAAGUUUUCUCAGAAUAGUUUGAUUUGGGAGGUGGGCAUUUGGUCAGAUGUGACAUGAGCAUGCUAGCCUUCUAUUAUAGUAAGUGCUUCUUUAAUCAAAAUUCAUUAUCAGGGAAAAGCAAUAUUACUGAAAAUACCUAGUUCAAAGUAUUACCAAAUAUCAGCAGUGGUGAAUAACGCUAUAGAAAGCUUUUACAUAAUGAAGAAUUUAGUGAAUGAGCUUGUGUAGUUCACUAAUUGUUCUUAGAUUAAUACUGGGGCGGCGGGAUACAAAUAUAGGAAGCAAGGCAGUAACAUCUAUAAAGAAACAAAGGCCAAAUAUAUAGCACCAGUUCUAAAUAGCCUCCAAGUAGAAAAGCACAGUGCUAUAUGAAUUGAGGAAUCGGAUAUGUCAAGAGAAAACAUAUAUAAAGGAAACUUAAUGCAUGGAAGGGGUAAAGGAUCCAGUCAGAACGGAGGAUGCGCAGUCAAAGUGAAGGAACAUAAGCAAGCUUGGGAUAGGGUGGUGGUGAGUAGUCAAACUGGACUGCAUUUGUAGGAUGGUGCUAAAGAGCAGUAGGGACAUUCAAAAGUGGCGACACUGUACUGUACAGGUAGGCUGGGAUGUGAAUAGGAACUGCGCCAAGGCGUGUCAGCAUCAGCUCACAAUAGAGAGAUGUGUGGAAAGACACAUGGCUAUUUAACAGCCAAUGCCUAGGUCUGACAUGUGGGAGACUGUUUACGUUCAUGUGGCUUGAUCUGUGAAAACAAACGUGUUGUUUCUGCGAUUAUGGGGAGAGUAGAAUAGCCACGAAGUAGAAAAUAAAUCAAGAACCAAAAGAUGAGGGAGGAACCCCUCCCAAAUAAAACCUCAACUAAACCCUUCAAGUAUGAGAAGGAGGGUCGCACCCUCAGAGAGAUCUUGUUGGGUAGAGAUAACAAAAGCCAGUACUUGUCUCACGCUGUAGGCUACAAAUCAAGUGAGUGUGAGACUACUUAUUAUUGGCUUAACUUUCUGAAAAUCAGCUUUAUUUAAACUGAGAGCUAGUUUAUGCUGCAAACAGAGAUGGCUUGGAAUGAGCUGCCUGGCGGGGAGGUGGGGGUGGGGAGCAGUUUUAACUCAGUUGUUGCCAUCAAAGAGACAAGGAAAAGUGAGAUUCCUAAGGAUCAGAGGAUCCUCUUGGGAUUAAGGGAGUGUUUGGAAGUCUGUAAAAGGUCUUAGCUCAUGGGAAACAAUGGCAUGCUAUAAUAGCCCAUGUAUUUUCCCCCUGAAUGCAGUGCAGGCAUUUACACAUUGUAUAGGAUCUGGCCUAUAGCAAUAGAUGGUUGCAGGAAGGUGAUGUUACUGCUAUAUUAGUCCCCUGGGGGGCUGGGGGUGGGUGGGAUAAAAGUCAAGAUCUGUUGGCAUGAUGCAUUCAGAGCCCUCGAAGGUUGUGUGUGGAUGGCAAUUUUUUCCUAUGGAGCCUUGUUUCCUCAAGAGACAGACAGAAAUUAGACAAACCGGCCAACCAACAGAACUGCUCCCAGAUUUUCCCUUUUUUUUUCAUUUUAGUGCAAUCAAUGGAUAGUAAUGGAGUCUCUAUCUACCUCCAAUCCAGCUGCCUCGCUGUCCCCAUACUUCCUUUCCACUAACCUUAUAACUGGUUUGCUAAGGUUUGUUUCUCACCAUUUUUUCCUGGUGUUCUGGGGGGAAUAUUUUGAUUCUCGAUUACCAUGUGGAUCUCUCCCGAGUCUGCUUCCUUCCGAGUAAAUUCUUCGUUUCGUUUCCUCUAGCUCUUAAGAUCAUAUACUCAACACUGACUUCAGGGUCGUGAGGUGGGGCACAGUAAGGGCUACAGUGGCUAGUCUCCUAAGAGUCCUUGUCAACGUGAGUUCCCUGGACUAAGCAUUCUGCGAGGAGGCUUCCUGGGAAAGACCCAGCUGAAUGCUCAGGGAACCCUAGGAACCUUAAUUAAAGCCAGGAAGAAGCAGCUGUCUGCUGCUUCUGAAGCCGUGUGCUGAGAACGAUGGUGUGUUCAGAACACAGGCAUUUUGGUUCACGUUAUAAGGUGAAGGGAUUCUAAGAGGGUUUAAGGUAGAAAACCAGAGUUAAAUUUUGAGCCUUGGUUCUGUCCCUUAUUAGUCAGAUAGUCUUGGCUAAAUCAUUUACCUGCUUAAGGUCCCACUUCCUGAUAGAGAACGACAGGCAGUUGUGAGGCCAUUAUGAGGAUUAGAAGCGAAUAUGGUUAGAAAGCAUUUAUCUCAUUGCCUGGCAGCUAGUAUAUGCCCAGUAUAGUCAGCGGCCAAUGUUUUAGUUUUGUUAAUCUUUAUCUUCCACUAAGAUCAUCCACCAAGAUCAUUGUCUCUCUGUGAGUCACUCUGUGUGUCUAAACACAACACUUCGAGCAGAAGCUAAAUGGAGACACAAGGGAAGAAGAGACAUAUGGGACAGAGCAGGGGAGUGUGCCCUGGCCUCAGUGAGGUGCCAGAUGCUGGCCCCGUUUGCUCUUACAGCUCCAGCUGCUUUGAGGGCAUCUACCCUCCUCCAUAAAACUGGGGUAACAUGCUGGCAGAGGGUAGACUCGCCAAGGAGAAAGAACAAUUCCCUGGUAGGAAAUAUGGAAGGCAUAGAAGUCCCAACAACUACUGCAGGCUGUAGCUGAAUAUAGUGGGUAGAAGCAACUUGUCAGUCUUUCAUCUCCGGAUGUAAGGUGUGCUUAGAGGCAGUUACGUUGUUAUGGUGGUUUCUUUUUGUUUGUUCUUUUGGGGGGUGUUUGCUUGCUGCCCCAAGGGUACAGCAUCCCUCACUGUUGGCUAUCCAAUGGGCACACAUGGUGUCUAGACACUGGGGAGGAGAAGGAGGCUGAUUCUCAUGCAUAAGAUGUCUGGAUGAUGAUCAAGAGUUCUUCAUAUCAAAUAUUUCAUUCAUUCUUAUCAGGACCAUAUGGUUAUAAAAUGUGUUUCUUAAGAACCCUAGUGAUAUGGGACCACUUGACUUUUUUCUGAGAGCCAGAUACCUCCUCUGCAAUAACAAACACUUCAUGAAAUUAACUAUUUUGAUAUUUUUUUUACAGACUCUAUAGAAGACUACAGUUUAUAGUGCUAUGCACAUAUGAUGCCUUCUCAAGCAGAAACUGAACAUCAAAUGUCAGCAAGGAUACUCAGGAUAUUUUACCUUACUAGAUUAAAUGAACAAGGAAGGAACUAAGACAAGCAGUCAGCAAGGGCCUGGGACCUGAUCUUCAGAGCUUCACUGCAAAUGGGGAUCCACAGCCAGAAAGGAGGUGGGAAGGAAUGAUAUGGCCCAAAUGCAACAGCAGCGCUCUCCCUGAAGGUAGAUGCAGAAUAUGCUACAGCAUGUCCAUAUCUGGCGGACAGAGGGACCUGAGGAUUCUCAGUUCGCUGGUUCGAGAACAAGCUAGAGAGGUGACUUUCUCAGCGCUAAUGUGGAAUGUUACUGACAUGAGCUUACUGUUUAAAUUGCUUGGGUUUGGGGUUUGUUAACACAGCGAUAUCCAGCACAGUAUGUUAUAGCAAGGUAAACUUGCUGACUAAAGACACGUUUUACUUUCAAACAUCUCAAGUCUUCUAGGACCCUGUGGAACCAACCAUCUCUUUCCUUGUUUUGCCUCUUAUGUUUUCUUCUCUCUCUCUCUUUUUUUAAAAGUUCAUUACUAACACCUACUUCCAUUAAGGAAUUUCUCACCAUCUAAGAAAUGUAUAAGGGGUGUGAGAAAAUAAGCUGGCUAACAUUUCAUGGAAUGAUGUUCUAUAGAAUGAACGCGAGUCCAGUUCUGCACUGCCUUGAAGGUGAUAGGGAAAGGGACAGAGCAGCUGCUCCAGGCACAGAGCUAAAGCUUGGGCUCAACUCUGGAUCACAGAUGGGACACAGCCCCAGGAGUCACUAACACUUAGGAUCUGUCUUCCUGCUGCACUUGAGCUAUGGGGUCCCAAAGCAGCAGAUCAGAGGCUACCCUGGAAUGUGAUUCUAGAAAAUGAUAGUAUUCUGCAUGCGCAUGAUUCUCUGUGUAAAUCCAAGGAAGGAUUUAGAGCUAGGAGGACUUCUUACUUCAUCCCAAUUUAAGACACUACCCACUUUGCUAUCUAGCUCCUUUACAAGGAAGCAGAAUUGACUUGAGGUCUUCAAAGUGGGGGUGCUAGAGGCUGCAUCUGAUGCUGUAGGUCCUUCCUUGUCUGAACUGACAGCUAGCCUGGGAGUAGGAAACAAGACUUGACCAGCUGUGGUGCCAGUGUGUUUCAGCUCCUAGCCACCAUGACACCGCUUUACUCUUCUGAGAUGACUGAGUCCAUGGAGCUCUGUUCACAAAUCCCCCCUACCUGCCAGGGCCUUAGACAAGAUAAGAGCAUUACUGCUUUCUGACUAGCAAUGAUGGCUCCUUUAAUCAUGCCCAACAGAGAUGUAAUGUUCACUCCUGACCCUUAGGGCUUUGACUUCUACUAUGUGUUCAAUGAAAAUCAUGCUAGGCUUAUCUUUCUAUCAAUUAAAAGUCCUCUCA